rnacentral:rRNA from 1 species
GAUGAACGCUGGCGGCGUGCCUAAGGUAUGCAAGUCGAACGAAACUUAACGGAGCUUGCUCUGUUAAGUUUAGUGGCAGACGGCUGAGUAAUGCAUAGGAACUUCCCCCUAACUCAGGGAUACCCCCGCGAAAGUGGGGUUAAAACCUGAUAGACCCUUGGUCAUAUUGACUGUAGGGUAAAACUCCGGUGGUUAGGGAUAGUCCUGUGUCCUAUCAGCUAGUUGGUGAGGUAAUGGCUCACCAAGGCGAUGACGGGUAGGGGGCCUGAGAGGGUGUACCCCCAGAAUGGGACUGAGACACGGCCCAUACUCCUACGGGAGGCAGCAAUUAGGAAUCGUGCGCAAUGGACGAAAGUCUGACGCCGCGACGCCGCGUGGUGGAUGAAGGCCUUCGGGUCGUAAACACCUUUUAUGUGGGAACAAGUUCUGAGUGUACCACAAGAAUAAGUAGCUUCUAACUACGUGCCAGAAGAAUCGGUGAUGCGUAGGCUACGAGCGUUAUCCGGAAUUACUGGGCGUAAAGAGAUGCGUAGGCGUUUUCUUAAGUUACUUGUUAAAUCCUGCAGCUUAACUGUAGAAAUGCAAGUGAUACUGGGAAAAUUGAGGAUGCUAGGGGAAAGGGGAACAUCUGGUGGAGCGGUGAAAUGCGUUGAUAUCAGAUGGAACACCAAUGGCGAAGGCACCUUUCUGGGGGCAUUCCUGACGCUAAGGCUCGAAAGCUAGGGUAGCAAAACGGAUUAGAUACCCGUGUAGUCCUAGCUGUAAACAAUCCCUGCUAGAUGUCUGAAGUCGCAGUACUUACCUUCGGGUAUUUUAUUGUGCUUUGGGUGUCGCAGCUAACGCGGUAAGCAGGGCGCCUGGGGAGUACGAGCGCAAGCUUAAAACUCAAAGGAAUUGACGGGGACCCGCACAAGCAGUGGAGCGCCUGGUUUAAUUCGAUGCUAAGCGAAGAACCUUACCAGGGCUUGAACUAUAGCUGCAAAGCCCAUGAAAGUGGGAAUUCUUCGAGAGUGCUAUAGAGGUGCUGCAUGGCUGUCGUCAGCUCGUGUCGUGAGAUGUUGGGUUAAGUCCCGCAACGAGCGCAACCCCUAUCUGCUGUUAUAAUUUCUGCAGAGACUGCCUUGCCAAAACGAGGAGGAAGGUGGGGACGACGUCUAGUCAUCAUAGCCCUUAUGUCCUGGGCUACACAGACGCUACAAUGGCCGGUACAACGGGUAGCCAAACCGCGAGGUGGAGCCAAUCCCAAAAAACCGGUCCCAGUCCAGAUUGCAGGCUGAAACUCGCCUGCAUGAAGUCGGAAUUGCUAGUAAUCGCAGAUCAGCAUGCUGCGGUGAAUACGUUCUCGGGUCU